AUGUCUACCUGCAGCGAUGAAAGUUGCGAUAAGGAAUGCCCUUUGUGCAUGGAGACCCUUGAACUGGAUGACAUCAACUUUUAUCCAUGCAAAUGCGAGUACCAGAUUUGCCGAUUUUGCUGGCAUCGUAUACGAACCGAUGAAAAUGGAUUAUGUCCUGCUUGCCGGCAGCCAUAUCCUGAAGACCCUGUCAAUUUUAAGCCAAUGACAACCGACGAUGUGCGAAAACACAAGGACGAACAACGAUUGAAAAAACAAGCGGAAAAACUGAAAUUAUCGGAUGCACGCCAAUAUCUUUGUAAUUACCGUGUACUCCAAAAGAAUCUUGUCUACGUCGUGGGAUUAUCACCUCGUGUAGCAGAUCCUGAGAUUUUGAAGAAAAAUGAGUAUUUCGGUCGGUACGGUAAAAUUCAGAAGAUCGUAACGAGUGCGACACCGUCAUUACCUGCACCUCAUCUUCCACCUAGUCAUACGGCUUACGUAACGUAUAAAAGAGUUGAUGACGCGCUAAGAGCAAUUCAAGUGAGUUUCUUUUAAAAAAUUAUAUUAAAACCACCUUUUGAGUUGCAUAAAAACACAAUUUCUGCAUAAACUUGAAUUCCCAUUGUUAACAUUUUAUUUUCAGGGCGUACAUAACUCAAUGUUGGAUGGUAGGUUAGUGAAAGCAUCACUUGGAACAACCAAGUAUUGUUCUUCAUUUUUGAAUAGUCGGAAGUGUUUCAAACCGGUCGGUGAAUGUAUGUAUUUGCAUGAAAACGCUGAAGCUGAAAUAAGUUUCACAAAAGAUGAUAUGCAUCUUGGAAAGCACACAGAAUACGAGAAACGAUUAAUUGAAUCGAUGAAUAGCCGACCUCCGCCGCCACAAUCGACACUUGCAUCACAAUUGGAUAAAAUACUGGCGCCAACGUCAAAUUCACCACGGCGAUAUCUUGAAGAUGAUUCUGACACAGUUGAUGACGUUGAGCGAACAGGCUCAGCGAUACACAUGUGUGCGGAUGAUCCUGAUGAUGAUGAUGCAGAUUCUACGAACACAAGCAAUUCUAUCGACGACCCGGCACCUUCAAAUCCAGCAGAUGAGACAGUUAACAGUAGACGGAGUAAUCAGACAGCCAGAGAGCGACAGUGGUCAGAACGCGACGAAAUUUCAGUGGCGCCCAGCAAUACACCUCCUACAGAUCCUGAAGGAAAUGAAAACGAGUUUGAAGAGGACAUCCAUAGAAACGAUGUUAGUGAUCUUAUGUCAAAAUUAGAUGUAAAUGACGACCGGCUGGCCCGGACAUCAUUCUCAGAAAAUGAUUAUCUUGGGAUUCCGGCACCAGCAAAGCAUCAAGAAGCACCAGCUCCUCUUAUGCAAUGGGAAGCAUUGCUCGGAUUGUCAUCACCUUCUGCACAAUCAACGAUCGUCGAACCUUCGUCACUAUUCCCAACGUUCAAAAUGGAUUCAGGAUUCAAUUCACAAUCGUUAUUCGGAACACACACAUCUAGCACACCGUCGUUCAGAAGAGAGGCUAGUCCUCCACCCGGUCUCGCUAGGUUCAAUUCAGACGAUGAUCUUGGAUUCGAUCCGUUCACCGAAUCAUCAAAGGGAUUGUCAGCGUUGUUACAAGAAGAACAAGAACAGAUUCCACCACACAAUUCAGCAUCAAAUCAUACUUUAGAUGUGUUAAAACAAUUGUUUGGUCAAUUACCCGAGCAGCGACAGUCAACCCAGCAGCAUCCACAACAUCUUCAAUCAUCACAUCAACAGCAUCCAUUACAACAGAAUCAAGAUCAACAUCAUUCGUUCCUUCAUCAGUUACAUGCACAGCAACAGCAUCAACAACAACAGUUUGCAGCAGAUAUGAACAGGCAACAGGACUAUAUGUAUAGUAGACUUAUGUCACAGCAACAACAGCAAUCACAACAGCAGAGACAGUUCGACUCGACGCCUGGAUUUUCACAUCCAUUCGGAAGUAUGCAGCAGCAACAACAGUCUUCACAGCAACAACAACAUCAGUCUCAGUCGUCACAGUCGUCCAGUCUUCUACAAGACUUGUUCAAUCGCCAACAGCAACAACAUCAAGCGCAGCAACAAGCACAACAACAUCAACAACAGCAGAUGUAUGCUGGAAUCAACUCAUACAUGUACAAUGACAUGUUGAUGCCUCGAGUACCAUUUGGAAUGGCACCACCUCCAGGACUCGGAGGUCCAUCUACGAACAGAUCUUCCACGACACAACAAGCACCUCCACACAUGACACAACAAUCACAACAACAACAGCAACAGCAACAGUCAAGUAUGGGAUUGUUCGGAAUGGGAGGCCAUCAAAGUAUGAUGCAGGAUCAUCAAUCACAGCAGCCACAAUCUGCACAAGAUGCAUUCAAAGCUCUUCUUCCAAAUGUAAAUGUUCGGUUUAUGGAUGAUAAUUCGAUGUCUCGUUGGUCGCAUGAGAACAGUCUGCGAUCAUCAGCCGUCCCACCACCACCCGGUUUUUCUUCUGUGAUGAACCGAUAA
rnacentral:misc_RNA from 1 species